rnacentral:rRNA from 1 species
UACGUAGGUGGCAAGCGUUGUCCGGAUUUACUGGGCGUAAAGAGCGCGCAGGCGGUCGAUUUAGUUGCGUGUGAAAGCCCCCGGCUCAACUGGGGAGGGUCACGCGAUACUGAUCGACUCGAAGGCAGGAGAGGGUAGUGGAAUUCCCGGUGUAGUGGUGAAAUGCGUAGAUAUCGGGAGGAACACCAGUGGCGAAGGCGACUACCUGGCCUGUUCUUGACGCUGAGGCGCGAAAGCUAGGGGAGCAAACGGG